AUUGAACGCUGGCGGCAUGCCUUACACAUGCAAGUCGAACGGUAGAGGAGCAAUCCUCGAGAGUGGCGAACGGGUGAGUAAUGCAUCGGAACGUGCCCAGUAAUGGGGGAUAGCCCGGCGAAAGCCGGAUUAAUACCGCAUACGACCUAAGGGUGGAAGAGGGGGAUCGCAAGACCUCUCGUUAUUGGAGCGGCCGAUGUCAGAUUAGGUAGUUGGUGGGGUAAAGGCCUACCAAGCCAACGAUCUGUAGCUGGUCUGAGAGGACGACCAGCCACACUGGGACUGAGACACGGCCCAGACUCCUACGGGAGGCAGCAGUGGGGAAUUUUGGACAAUGGGCGCAAGCCUGAUCCAGCCAUGCCGCGUGCGGGAAGAAGGCCUUCAGGUUGUAAACCGCUUUUGUCAGGGAAGAAAUCUUCUGGGUUAAUACCUCGGGAGGAUGACGGUACCUGAAGAAUAAGCACCGGCUAACUACGUGCCAGCAGCCGCAGUAA
rnacentral:rRNA from 1 species